ACUUGGUUGAUCCUGCCAAUAUUCAUAUGCUUGUCUCAAAAAUUAAGCCACUUCGAAUGGCUCAUUAAAUCAGUUAUAGUUUGUUUAAUGGUAUCUACUACUCGGAUAACUAUAAUAAUUCUAUAGCUAAUAUGUGCAACAAACCCUAACUUCUGGAAGGGUUGCAUUUAUUAGAUAAAAGGUUGAUGCAAGCUUUUAUCAUUGCUCUGAUGUUCAUGAUAACUUGACAGUUUGCACAGCUUUUGUGCUAGUGACACAUCAUUGAAAUUUCUUCCCUAUCAAUAAUCAUUGGUAAGAUAGUGGCCUACUAAGGUGGUGACAAGUGACAAAGAAUUAGGGUUUGAUUCCAAAAAAAGAGCCAAAACCAGCAGACAUACAAAAUACCCAAUCCAGACAUAGAGAGGUAGUGAAAAUAAAUAACAAUACGAAGCUCUAUAAGUCUAGUAAUUGGAAUUGUACAAUCUAAAUCCCUUAAUGAGGAUCCAUUAAAAGGCAAAUUUGGUUCCAAAAACUAUGGUAAUUCUAGCUCUAAUAGCGUAUAUUUAACUUGUUACAAUUAAAAAGCUCAUAGUUGGGACUAGGGUUAGGUUGUCUGAUUCAUUUGAUGGUGAGCAUUAGUCUACUCAUCCCUACUGCUGACAAUGUGCUCCUAGCCAUAACUAGUCAGGUCAUUCCUCUGGUGCUAUUAUGUUGAAGAAAUUAGAGUGCUCAAAGCAAGCCUACACUUAUAUACAUUAGCAUGGGAUAACAUCAUAGGAUUUCGAUCCUAUUAUGUUGGCCUUCAAAAUCAAAGUAAUGAUAAUAGGGAUAGUCGAGGACAUUCAUAUUUCAUAGGUAAAGGUAAAAUUCUUAGAAUUAUGAAAGAUGAACAACUGUAAAAGUAGUUGAAAGGAUGUUUUUAUUAAUCAAGAAUGAAAGUUUAAGGCUAAAAAAUGAUCAGAUACCAUCCUAGUCUCAACCAUAAAUGAUGCCAGCCAAAGAUCGAUAGAUGUUACUUUUAGGACUACGCUGGCACCUUAUGAGAAAUCAAAGUCUUUAGGUUCUGGAGAGAGCAUGGUCACAAGGCUGAAACUUAAAAGAAUUGACAAAAGGGCGCCACCAGGAGUAAAGCCUAUAGCUUAAUUUGAUUCAACACGUGGAAACUUAUUAGAUCUAGAAAUAGUAAGCAUUGGCAGACUAUGAACUCUUUCUUGAUUCUAUGGGUGGUGAUGCAUGGCCAUUUUUAGUUGGUGGAGCAAUUUGUCUAGUUAAUUUUAUUAACGAAUGAGACCUCAGCUUGCUAACUAGCUACACAGAGGUGAUCCUUCGUAAGUAGCUUCUUUAAGGGACUGUAGCUACUUAGGCUAGGGAAGUUUGAAGCAAUAAUAGAUAUAUGAUGCCCUUAGAUGUUUUGGGCCACAUAGCACUACAUUGAUGUACUGAAUGAGUCUAUAGCCUUGGCCAAUAGGCUUGGCUAAUCUUUGAAAUUUCAUCAUGAUGGGGAUAGAUCGUUGCAAUUAUUGGCCUUCAGUAAGGAAUUCCUAGUAAGCACAAGUUAUCAACUCAUGUUGACUAAGUCCUUGCCCUUUGUACACACUGUCUAUCUCUCUUAUCGAUAGAAUGGUAUGGUAAAAUGUUUAGAUCAUGGCAAUGCAGAAGGUUCACUAUCAUAACAUUAUGAGAAGUCUAUUGAACCUUGUCAUUUAGAGGAACGAAAAGUUGCUACGAGGUUUUUGUAGGUGAACCUAUGGGAG
rnacentral:rRNA from 1 species